rnacentral:rRNA from 1 species
UACGGGGGGGGCAAGCGUUGUUCGGAAUUACUGGGCGUAAAGGGCUCGUAGGCGGCCAACUAAGUCAGACGUGAAAUCCCUCGGCUCAACCGAGGAACGUCGAUCGAUACUGCUGUUCUUGAGGAUUGCAGAGGAGACUGGAAUUCCCGGUGUAGCGGUGAAAUGUGUAGAGAUCGGGAGGAACACCGGUGGCGAAGGCGGGUCUCUGGGCAAUUCCUGACGCUGAGGCGCGAAAGCGUGGGGAGCAAACGGG